CAGGGGAAUCAUGGUGAACUAUGCUCAUGAUGUUUUAAAGAGACUACAGGGACUUCUUGUCAUAUCCGCAGACAAUGGUUACCAGCAGCUUCUAUCUGCAGAUGAUCGGUUGUUCCUUUAUGAGAGCGCAGGUAUUCUCAUUGUUGCUAGUGGAGCAGUACCAGAG